AUUGAACGCUGGCGGCAUGCCUUACACAUGCAAGUCGAACGGCAGCACGGGAGCAAUCCUGGUGGCGAGUGGCGAACGGGUGAGUAAAGUAUCGGAACGUGCCCAGUCGUGGGAGAUAACGUAGCGAAAGUUACGCUAAUACCGCAUACGAUCUAGGGAUGAAAGCGGGGGAUCGCAAGACCUCGCGCGAUUGGAGCGGCGGAUAUCAGAUUAGGUAGUGGGUGGGGUAAAGGGUCACCAAGCCGACGAUCUGUAGCUGGUCUGAGAGGACGACCAGCCACACUGGGACUGAGACACGGCCCAGACUCCUACGGGAGGCAGCAGUGGGGAAUUUUGGACAAUGGGCGAAAGCCUGAUCCAGCCAUGCCGCGUGCAGGAUGAAGGCCUUCGGGUUGUAAACUGCUUUUGUACGGAACGAAAAGGUUUGGGCUAAUAAGCUGAGCUCAUGACGGUACCGUAAGAAUAAGCACCGGCUAACUACGUGCCAGCCGCCGCCGUAA
rnacentral:rRNA from 1 species